AUAACGGUCCUAAGGUAGCGAAAUUCCUUGUCGGGUAAGUUCCGACCUGCACGAAAGGUGUAAUGAUCUGAGCGCUGUCUUGGCGGGAGGCCUGGUGAAAUUGUAUUACCGGUGAAGAUACCGGUUACCUACAGUAGGACGGAAAGACCCCAUGGAGCUUUACUGUAGCUUGGUAUUGGGUUUUGGCAUUGCAUGUAUAGGAU
rnacentral:rRNA from 1 species